rnacentral:tRNA from 1 species
UGACAGGUGGCUGAGUGGUUAAAGCAGCAGACUGUAAAUCUGUCGGGUAAAUCCUUUCCAGGUUCGAUUCCUGGCCUGUCCA